UACGAAGGGGGCUAGCGUUGCUCGGAAUUACUGGGCGUAAAGGGCGCGUAGGCGGAUAGUUUAGUCAGAGGUGAAAGCCCAGGGCUCAACCUUGGAACUGCCUUUGAUACUGGCUAUCUUGAGUUAGGGAGAGGUGAGUGGAAUGCCGAGUGUAGAGGUGAAAUUCGUAGAUAUUCGGCGGAACACCAGUGGCGAAGGCGACUCACUGGCCCGAUACUGACGCUGAGGCGCGAAAGCGUGGGGAGCAAACAGG
rnacentral:rRNA from 1 species